UCCCGCGGAGAGCUCGGAAGCGGACGCAUCUCCGCGUUGCGGAGCCGCGGCUCCGCUGCCGGCCGCAGCGCGGAAUUCUAGGUAUGCGUCCCCGCCUGACGGACGGACGGACGGACGGGAAGCCGGGGGGGCGCGAUUAAACAGUGGCGUAAUCAUUAGGCAGCGUCGCCGCUACUGACCAAGACAAAGAGUGGGAUCUAUAUCCAGGGCGCAGAACAGCGCGUUUUUACCGCCGAAUCGGCGAAGUCGCCGAGAAAAGCGGCGUUUUGUGUGUUGCCGUCACAGCGAACCCCCCCCCCGCGCCGGGCGGCGCGGUGGUUCCUCCCGCCGUAGCGGCGGUCCGCGCUGCGCUCCGGAGCGCCGCUAACCAAUGAGAGGAGUGGAAGGAGCGCGAGGCCGCCGGACGCUGGAAGUUGGGACGACCCGAAGGCGCCUUGUGUCGCCGAGCUGCCGGCCUGCGAACCCGGAUAGGAAGAUAUGAUGUCCGCCGCCGCCGCCGCCUGCGCUUUAGCGGACUGAGGAGGAGGCGACACACACACACACUCGUACCCAGAUAGGCACACACACACACACACACACACACACACACACACACACACACUCACACUCACACCCCCACCCACAGAUCUAUGCGGCGCUCCCCGCUGCCACUUCGCUGGACCCGCCUGCUUAGAGACUAGGACCGCAACACAAAGCUCGCUUGGUUUCGUACCCGGACCCACGAUGAUCUUCGCUAACAGCGGCAACCCGGCGAGGACCCCGUACCGCAAACAGCCACCUGUUGCCCCGUCGUCACACCCCAUGGCUCCGCCCAGCCCCAGCACCAACGGCAGCACCAACAACAGCAGCAGCAGUAGCAGUAGCACUGCAGGCUGGGAACAGCUCAGCAAAACCAACCUCUAUAUCCGGGGUCUGCCCCCAGUCACCACAGACCAUGACCUAGUCAAGCUCUGUCAGCCUUAUGGCAAAAUUGUAUCAACAAAGGCGAUCCUGGAUAAGACUACAAACAAAUGUAAAGGUUAUGGCUUUGUGGACUUUGAUAGCCCGGCUGCAGCUCAGAAAGCCGUAGCCGCCCUGAAGACCAGCGGCAUCCAGGCUCAGAUGGCAAAGCAACAGGAACAAGACCCAACGAACCUUUACAUCUCCAACCUGCCCCUGUCCAUGGACGAGCAGGAGCUGGAGAACAUGCUGAAGCACUUUGGCCAAGUCAUAUCCACCCGCAUCCUGAGGGACGCCAAUGGAGCCAGCAGAGGGGUGGGCUUCGCCAGGAUGGAGUCCACUGAGAAGUGUGACGCUGUCAUUUCUCACUUCAAUGGAAAGUUCAUCAAGACACCCCCUGGUGUUCCAGCACCAGCUGAGCCUUUGUUGUGUAAGUUUGCUGACGGUGGGCAGAAAAAAAGACAAAGCCAGAGUAAAUUUCUGCAGAAUGGCCGUUCCUGGCCGAGAGAUGGUGAUGCUCGACUGGCAGGAAUGACACUCACAUAUGACCCCACCACAGCUGCUAUGCAAAAUGGAUUCUACCCAUCUCCAUACAGCAUCACCAACAGGAUGAUCGCUCCAACGUCAAUGUCUCCUUAUAUCUCUCCAGUCUCAACAUACCAGGUGCAGAACCCCUCCUGGGUGCCUCAUCAGCCCUACAUCAUGCAGCACCCAGGAGCGGUGAUAUCGCCCUCUAUGGACCCGUCUUUGUCACUGCAGCCUCCUUCCAUGAUGGCUCCCCUCACACAGCAGAUGAGUCACCUCACCUUAGGCAGUGCAGGAACGUUUAUGGCUGCAAACACAGCUAUGCAAGGAGCCUACAUCCCGCAGUACGCACACAUGCAGACAACAGCUGUUCCAGUGGAGGAAAAUGGCGCACAGUCACAAGUGGAGUCAUCUGGUGACCAUUCCCCAUACACCUAUCAACAAACCAAGUAGUAUUGAGGUGAAAGUGGAAAUACAGCUAAAACAAUCAUAGCCGCCUCAAAUGCAAUGGACGCUAAGGAUUUUUCACCGUUUUGCACAGCAGGAACAUGUGUGAUUGAUUGUGCAAAAACAAAUCUCAGCCUUGAUACACAACCCAGGCAGAAGUUCACUGAGUUGGGGGACAACUGAGACCCACACGCGGAUUACAAUGCACCUCGCUCUUGGACAGGAAACAAAACAAACAAGCUCGGCACUUUGAAUCGUAGUUUACUCCACCAAAGACUGUGAGCUAGUACGCUGAGGACACAUGGCGUCAUCUGUCUCUCCAAUCAGGAUACAAACGGACUCUGCAAGACUGGUCUGCAGUUUAGAGAAUGUGCCUUUUUGACAUUUACAUUCAGUUAUCGUAGGUGUUAGUUACGCAAGGACACACACACACACACAAGCAUGAAGGACGGCUUGGAUCCAACAAGUGCCACACAAAGAUUUCAUUGCUGCAGAAAAAAAAACAAAAAACGGGGGAAAAAAGGAAGAAAAAACACAAAGCGACGUAAAUUCACUGACGAAGUGGGAAAGAAGAGGGUUGGAAACGGAAGUGACGACGCAGCGCAGCCGCUGGCGUCCCCGCGAAGCUCUUCCUGUUCUUUGGCGGCGACGGCAGCAGGCGGAAGCUGGCGUUUCGAUCGAGGCGUCUUCCAGGAAGCCGUGAUGAGACCCGGUGGUCGGUCCCGACCCGUUAUCUACCUCAGAGUUUCUUUCUUCUCCUCUUUACAAGGCCGGGUUAGCAGGUCCUGCCCGCGUUUCCAGACCAACCGCCACGCUCGGGAGCUGGCGACUCACAGCUGUUUCUUUCAGGGUGUCAUUUUUCUUUUCUCUCUCUCUCUCUCUUCUCUUUUUACGUUCAUCAACCUUUUUCUUUUUUAAACGAUGUGUUACCGUGACAAGCGUGAGGGCAGUUGUGCAUACGGCGUUAUUAUUUCUAGUUGUGUUCAGACUUUUUCAGUUUCGUAGUUCCAAAGGAAGAACCGCGGCGAGAGAUUCCAGAGGCGGAUCCUGGAAGGCCGUCGACGUCGGGAAGUGGGAGAGUUUGUGGCGUUCGCUGGAUCCGCUCCGAAAAACCAGACGUCUUUUGUCGCUUUGUCCAAUGAGUCCAGCGCGCACGUGCAGCAGCGUCUCUCCUGCGUCGCAGGCCCGAGCGCCGCCGGCGUGACGGCUCGUGCCCGGCGUAACAGACUCGCGCGCGGUGCCGGACGAGGGGGGGGGGCGGGGGGGGAGUCGCACUGUCGAGUCUUGCGAGGUUUAUGCUGCUAGCGGUGUCUGAACCAAGUGCCAUACUAGCGAGGUCAAGAGUUGGGGAAGGUGCAUCUAAGGAGGAAUACAAAAGAAUUUGCUCAUAAGUAAACCAUCAUGUUGAACAGUCGUUAAGUUAAAUGAAAAGUAAUAAUUUAUGAAGAGUUUUGUACAGACCGUUUGAGGAAAUAAAAGAGUUUCAUAGAGAUAUCUAUAAUCUAUAUGAGAGGUUUUUUUAUUUUGUUUUACACGUGCCACACAUUUGCCAGUGGUAACCUGUAUGUCCAGUUUAAGGAAGCCUUCCUCUGUGUUUUUGUUCCAUCGUGUUUGUUAAAAGCCAAAGACUUUUUUCUUUUUCUUUUUUUUUGGUAGAUUGUUACCUAAGCUUUAUUUCUGUUUAUUUCUUUGACAUUUUUUGAAUAAAACUUCAAGAAACUUA